CCGUGGUCCAUCAUAUCAACCUCUCAUUGCUUUCGGAUUCUGUUUAGUUUCUAGUUUGUGAUUCUACCAGAUUUCUUGACGCUUUGUAUGUAAUUCAUGUUCAAUAAAGGAAUGAGAAAUGGCUAGUAUCUUCCUAUUGCAUUUUGAUCAUGAAUGCAUGUUUACCUAUCAGUUUUUGAUGGCUUGUGAUUUGUUUGUUUACUUCCUAAAGCAUUGAUAUUAAUUUUGCACGCCAUCCCUUUUGUCAACAGAUAUUGUUCUUCUCGUGACAACAUGACCAUCGAUCAAGUUUUGCCGGUUUCACGAGGCGGUGAAUGGAAUUGGGAAAAUCUGGUUACGGCUUGUGCAAAAUGCAAUUCAAGAAAAAGGGUAGAAGACUCUGGAGGAAGCAAAAAUGAAGCUGUUUAAGGUCCCAAGGGCCCCAAAAGACUUCGACAUACUGGCAAUACCCCUGACAACAACAGCACUACGGAUGCUUAAGAUGAGAAGAGGGAUG